AAAAAAUAAAUAUUCAUCCAAAUAUAAGUUAUUUUAUAAUAAAUUACAUUUUCAUGACCUAUCAAAUAUACCAAAAUUUUAUUUUUCAAAAAUUAUUUUCUAAAAAAAAAAAAAUUACACAUACCAAAUAUAUCCAAAAUAAAACGAGAUGCUUGCAUGAUGCACCAUCAUAUCAUAUAGGAUAUAAUUUCUCCCCUCCUAAAACUUCAAACCAAUUGCCAUCCUGAAUAGAAUAGAUCCGCUUCCUUCCUCUUCCUCUUUCUAGCUUGUUGUCCCUUUUAGUUCCUCCUCUAUCUUCCUUCCUUGCUAGUUGGGGUAUAUCCUUGAGAAUAUGAAACCUUUAUUCAUCUUAUUCUCCAAAACUAAAAUGUUCCUAUUAUACACUGAUUUUGUUUGUU
rnacentral:lncRNA from 1 species